rnacentral:ncRNA from 1 species
GAGAACUGGAUAUACGGAGACGUGUACGUCCGGUUCGGAGGCGAGUACUUGGAAACCUACCAUAGAAAUAUGACAAGGAGCUGGGUACUUGGCCUAC